rnacentral:rRNA from 1 species
AAUGAACGUUGGCGGCGUGGAUUAGGCAUGCAAGUCGAGCGAGUCCAUCUUGUAGCAAUAUGAGGUGAGUCGAGCGGCGUAAGGGGCAGUAAUACCUGGGAACGUACCCUGAGGUCGGGGAUAGCUGCUGGAAACGGCGAGUAAUACCCGAUGAUCUUGGAAAAGCAAAGGCUUGCCGCCUUGGGAGCGGCCCAGGCGAUAUUAGCUAGUUGGUGGGGUAAUGGCCUACCAAGGCAUAGAUGUCUAGCGGGUGUGAGAGCACGACCCGCGCCACUGGCACUGAGACACUGGCCAGACACCUACGGGUGGCUGCAGUCGAGAAUCUUCGGCAAUGAGCGCAAGCUUGACCGAGCGACGCCGCGUGCGGGAUGAAGGCCUUCGGUUGUAACCGCUUUGGUCCGAAAGAAAGGGUAAAACUUAGAUCGAUCGGAGAAACAAGGACGGGCUAAGUUCGUGCCAGCAGCCGCGGUAAG